UACAGAGGGUGCAAGCGUUGUUCGGAAUUAUUGGGCGUAAAGGGCGCGUAGGCGGUGCGGUAAGUCUGCGGUGAAAUCUCCCGGCUCAACUGGGAGUCUGCCGUGGAAACUGCCGUGCUUGAGUGUGGGAGAGGUGAGUGGAAUUCCCGGUGUAGCGGUGAAGUGCGUAGAUAUCGGGAGGAACACCUGUGGCGAAAGCGGCUCACUGGACCACAACUGACGCUGAGGCGCGAAAGCUAGGGGAGCAAACAGG
rnacentral:rRNA from 1 species